UGGGGACAGAGUUUCUUUUUGGGGUGAUGAACAUGUUCAAAAUUAGAGUAUUAGGAAAUACAACCUUGUGCAUAUACUAAAAACCACUGAAUUAAAAAAAUGUGUAUAUGCACACAUACAAAUGUAUCUUGGUUACUGAGAUUUUAGGGUGCCCCUUACAUUGUGUCCCUAAAGGGAGUGUCUCACUUCACCCAAAUCCUGGCCCUGUAGGUGGCUCUCAGGGCAGGGAUGACACAAAAAGAGCACUGGCUAACUGCCAGACAUUGCAGUGGGCAGUAGUGUGGGCCCUGCACAUGUGGCAGUGGAGGAAGGGAGUCAUAGCUGGUCCCUGCCCUCAGGACCCUCCCAAGCGAAGGCCAACUGCCAAGCCAGGGACUGCGAUUUCAGGGUUAGACAACUGGCCAAAGAGGACCUCGCCUCUUUGCCUCCUUCUCCUUGCUCAUUUUCUAUUUUCGUAAUAACAGAACCUCUGACUUAGGUUGAACAUGGCCUCCAAGAGUAAAGACUGCAUUUCCCAGCUUCCCUUGCAGCUAGGUACAGCCAUAUAUCUAAGUUUUAGCUAAUGAGACUCAAGAGGGAAGUGGCAUAUUCAACUUCCAGGUCACACUCUUGAGGGGGAGGAGCAUGUGGAUAAAGAAAAGCUCAAGCAUGGGGGAGCAAGAAAGUGAGAGAAGCCUGGUUCCCUGAGGACCUUGUGGAGGAGAGGUAUCCUGUCAGCCUGCACCACAACAAGCCAUGAAAAACAUUCAGUUUUGUGUAAGUCACUGUGGUAUGUAGGAAUCCCUGCUGAUCCCCAAGGCAGGAAUUUGGGGUCCAGCUCCUUGGUGCCCUCCACAGGAUGUUCGGAUGCCGAGUCUGUCUCCCGGACCGCCUACCGGCACUCACAGCCUGGCGCACAGGAAGUAGUUCCGGCCCCCAGCACAGGGCUUGGACGUAGGACGCCGACUGCGGACAGAGCCGAGUCCCACCCAUGUUCUCACUGGACCCUCUUCUGGCUGCCUGGGCUCAGGGUUGCAGUCACAGAUCCUGGGUCUGCUGGGAGUGACUUCCCAAAGGGCUGUUGAAAGGAAAAAGCAAAACAAAAGCCGACUUGCUGCGUCUGCCAGAGUCUGAGUUGUAACUGUUUGCAUGAAGAGACUGUGGCAUUUGCCUCUCCAGAACUGGUAAGCAGCCAGUUUCAGUGCACUGAUGGCCUCAGAAGCAACAGGUCCAAUCACACUGGGACCAGAGCCCGGGUCUUCCCCCUCUUUGGGAAGAAGCGAGCACAAGGCCCUCUGACCCAUGGUGGCCCCCCCAGGCCUAUGCAAGCAUCAAGUGUGGCUGAAGCGUGCUCUCCGUGUAACUAGGGCUUUGUCUCCUUCCUGGAAGCUGGGAACCCCAGUUCCGGGCUCUGCCUGUGCACAGAGGGCCCCAGGCAACAGCACUGGGAUGCUGGACACAGCAGCAAAACAAGUCUCCGGAGAUCCGAACAUCUAACCGGCACCCGCCUGGCUGUGCAUCCCGAAGCCCUGCUGGCUGCAACCUGCAUUUCCUGGUCAAUGUCAUAAGGCCCCUGAGUUCCGCAUCAGAACCUUCCACCAAUCCACUUUCCCAGCACUGGCCCUGCCUGAACCAUCCAUGAACUCUGCACUUCAUGGUCUCCCGGGAGGUGGAUGUCAAGGGACCUGGGCCCCAUCACCAGCUUGCUGGUCCCACAUCAAGCCACCUGGCCAUGUGUACUCCAUGUCCCAGGAUGAGAGCUGGGUGGCAUCUCCGGAAGUCCUUUGGCACCAGAAUGCUGAAGGCACCAGUGGGCCACGCAAGAACUGCACGGAGCUGCUGUUACACCAUCAAGGCCACGGCAGAGGCAGGCAGGGGCCUCAUUCUGGAAGGCCAGAGGUAGCCCCGGGCAGGAGAGCAGUGGUAAGCUUGGGAGGGGCUGUCUUCUGUGUGGAGGACACAGGCUCCAGCUCUGCCUCUCCAUGGGGUCCCUAAGAGCUCCUCCGCCUUCAGUGCAGGAUUGCUGGUCUCUGGACCCCAUCUGGAGUCCCAAGGCUACAGACGGCAAAAGCCACUGGGAACACCACACGGGAGAUGGCUGGGAGUCCAAGGCCUGGGGCCUUGUCCUAAAAUCACCCAGUGUCAGAGUCAGAAGAGAGUAGAUGGGGAUGUGGCCAAGAAUGCGUAACCUCAACCUAAUCAUGAAGAAACAUCUGAUGAACACAAAAUGGGGAACUUUCACGUAAAGGAAAAAGCAGGGGGUGGGGAAGGAAGUCUGCAUUUCAGUCUCAAAACUGCCAGUGUUAUGAACGAGAGAGACGGGCUGUGCAAAUAUUCCAAAUUAAAGUAGGGGAAACAGCUUUCCUGCUACAGGGAGUAUCUGGCCCUUGGCUGGAUCCCGACCUGGAGAGGGGCGCUAACAAGGACCUUAUUGGACCAAGAGACCAAAGCAGUGCAAACUUCUGAAGUGGACAAAUCCCGAGUGGCGGUACAGGGGUGUGCAGCCUUCGUGCUUCCAGACCAGACCUUCCAUGGCGCACUCAGGAAAGUGUCUAGGGGCAGAGGGCCCGGGGCAGCUAACAUCCGUUAUAUGAUUCAGAAAGAACUCUGUGUGCACAGAGAGAGAGAAAGCAGUUGGGGUAAGACGGUAACAAUACACAAGAGCUUGCCCAUAUGCCUAUUUCAGUACCCUGCUUCUAUUCUUGGGCUGUUUGAAAUUAUUUCCAAGUAAAAGACUAAAAAAAAAGCAGUAGAACUAUUUAUUUCAAACAAAAGCUCAUGCAGAACCCCAUGUGUAAAAAACGUUCCAGCGCGGCUGUCGGCGGUGGCAAGGCUGGCCCUGAGCCUGUU